ACACACAAAAAAGCAAAGUAAAUCAUUUUUGCACCAGCAGAGGUCAGCAUUUAGUUUUGAACAGAUUCAAAGCAUCAAAACCAACCAAAGAUUGUAUUUUGGCGAGGCAAUUUUCUUUUCUCAUGUAUUAAUCACAUAUUUAAUCAUAUCACAUUACUUAUAGUAAUAUCACUUUCUCACGUAUGCAGGUGGAAUAAUUACAGUGAGGCCAUUAUAAUGGGAGACGUUAAACAGAAAGUGAGACUCCUUCUCCUUAUUAGGGAUGUAAAUCCUUAGGUGACGGCCAACCAGAAAACAAGGUCAUAACUCUCUGUGAGGGCGGAGGUAUAGCCUCCCAUGAGAGGGGCUAACACGUAAGAGUUUGUGGAAUGUUUUUUGUCUGUGUCUCUGUAUGUGUGAUUUAAGGGCGGUGGCCACAAUUCAGAGAUGGACCUAGUGUUUCACUGGGAUGGUCUCUCCACAUAACAAUGUGUUUAUUAAACCCACUUCAAAUCAAGCUCACUGGGUGUGUUGCAGGUUAUUGUUAAAUUUUCCAGAAAAAUUUGAUGAUGUCGAGCAGGAUUCCUCAGGUGAGUUUCGCUGAAUAACAGGCAUGCGGUGACUGGCUAUCCUGAGGUAAAAUUGCCUCAGUCCCACCGUUCCUUUGUUUUUAAAAAGGGGGAACCACGGGGUGUGCUUCAGUGACUCAUGCAUGCAGGAAUUUUUAAAAGAACCAAGAGAGGCACUGCAAAGGAUCUGCAACGGUGAGCUGUUUUGAUUUGGGAGGAUUUUCAAUCGGGAAACAGGGAAAGCCUCGCUUCCUUACUGCUGCAAUUAUUGGGUGCAGGUUCCUAGAAACUCAGUUUGGGUAUUCUAGUGGGUAUUCUUGUUGCAGCAGUAAGUGCAGGAUCUUAGAAGCUCAACAAGUUGAGCAUUCUAGUGUAUGUUUUUUUAGCAAUUUUGCAGCAGCGAAAAAACGCAGAAUGGCCAGACAGCGGACGCGCUUGUUUGUACAAUGGAAGCUGGACCCAGCAAAUGGGGGCGUCCCUACAGGUGGUCUGGGUGAAAACCCAAUUUUUAUUUUUUUAUUUUAUUUUAUUUUAAUUAUUUGGCCAUAGAGUUUGGUCUGGUUAAAAACUCCAAGUGUGUGGAAGAUGGUUAUGUGAAAGAAAGAUGUCGACAGAGAAAAGGGUUUUUGGUUUUUUUUGGGACGGACCAUUUGGAGGAAUACGACGCCUGAUUUCAGGACUGUCGUGGGAAGCGCUCCAUCCUUAGUUUACGAUGUUUAGCACUUUUGCACCAGAAGGAAAAGGCCGGACGGUGAACGCGCUUGUCCGCAAAGCUGAGCUCAGCAGUACGGCCAGUGAUACCAUAGGAGGCAUCCCUCUGGGUGGUCCGGGCAAAUCCCAGUUUUGAUUGUAUGAUUUUUUUUUUCCUUCCAGAAAUAUGGGAAAGAAUACACAGAGUAUGAAGUGUGUAGAAACUGAGGAAUGCAGUAAAGAAAAGUGUGCGUGUGCAUGUAAGAAGUGCUGUGGGUGUGUAUAACAAGAAAGAGAUGUGUUAAAAUGCAGAUAGAAGAAUAAGAGAGGGAAAGUGUUAUUGAGCAGUGAUGAAAAUGAUAUUAAAUAAGUGUCUCAGUGUGUUAGUACAGGUGACUACGGACCUGGAUCAACCUCCUCCACGAGCACAGCAGCGGGAGCAAAAUGAUAGAUUAACAUUAUUGGAACCACACCCACGCCGUGUUUUGGCUGAAAAUUUCACAGCUUCACCUUCAUGUACAUCUUAACCUGAAGAACAAGCUUCGAGGACAAUCAAUCUCUCCCUGAAGACAAAAUGCAGUUCAAGAGCAACGGCGUCGACUUCAAGAGUCAACAAGAACAAAUAUAAGGUGAGCUUCUCUAGAUAACAAUGGGCUUUGGAGGAAAUUCACCUACCUAGGAUGCUGACCAUAUUAGAUGCUAUAUGUGGAAGGAAACCAUGACCUAGGAC